ensembl:lncRNA
AGGCAUUUUGUGGGGAUACGGGAUGUAUGGGACAGGCUUCUCCCUAAGCAUAGUGAGACGGUGCUAUCGUGCUCUAACAAACUGACCUUGCUGCCGAGAAAACAAGAAAGAGGAAGGAUGUGAAGGAAUGAGGAAGCAACUAAAUAAGGCACGAUGUUAUCCAGUGCAAACCAAUCAGGGCAGAACAUGACGGCACAGUUGCUUAAGUUAAAAUAUAUAAGCUGUGCAUAGUAGUGAAUAAACACCAUUUUACUGCUCAUCAUAUUGGUGUACGUUUGCAGUCAUUUGGCCCUGACCAGGUAGUUGGCCAGUACGCGCUAGGGCUAACACAGGAAGCUAACAUCACAGUUGCUGAAGGCAACAAAUGGUGCCCUGUGUGAGGCACACUGUGUUUUGAUACUCUCUGCGCAACCACGAGACCUGGGGUGAUGCCACAGCCCAAGUAACUUACAGUGAGGGGGAGCCUGCAGACGAUUGGGGUGAUGCCCUGCAGAAGAUCAUGAUGUUGACGAUAGUGCUGGCCGGCAAGUAGAACCUGUGUUGCGGUGGGGUCUGGGGGGGACGACAGGAGUCCAUGGAGACCCAUGCUGAUGGCAGUGUUGACUGUGAAUCUGAGGUGACGGCAACGGGCUGACCAUGGAACAUGUUCUUAAGCCUCUUUUGCAGGAAUCCAGAUGAGGAGCAAUCGAUAAAGAUGGUGCCGGGUGAUCCGACCACACCCAUACAAACAACGGGGGACAAACAACAAGCUGGUGGGCUUCAGCCAUCGUCACCCUUAUCGGGUGAAGACACCUUAUCGCAAGAACUGGAAUCCCCGCCUCCGUAUCCCUGGCAGCAGCUGUGUCCUUCAUUGCGAAACUUUACUUUGCCCAUAGGGGCGGAGAAAGGGGUGGAGGAAAACAGGGGCAGUACACUUGCUCCCUCGCAGGGGGUGGAGAGUAGAGAUUACACCCCUCCGGAGGGGGCGGGAGAAGCUGCUGGUGGGAAAACCGAAGCCAACUCCAGAGCAACCGAGGGACAGACGAGGGGACCGAGAACCACUCAUCAAGAGGAGCACCACACCUGCAAUGCCGAUACUUCUGAUACUGCUGAUGUUUAUGGUGUCACCGUGAUGUGAGUCCGGGACCUGAGUGUAACGAUGAUGUUAAGUUGUGGAGUGUCACAGCAUGUAUGUUCGCGUCGAUUUUUGCGCCGGGAGUCUCAGCAGCGGCGGCUUUGACCCAAAUAGAAAGAUUGGCAUGUUGGUCUGCAAAACAGGCCAAUACGACCACGCUUGUGUUAAAUGCUAUGCUUGAAGAUCUUAAUAGUGUCCGCCAUGCACUGCUACAGAAUAGAGCAGCUAUUGACUUCUUGCUGUUGGCUCAAGGACAUGAGUGUGAGGAUGUCGAAGGAAUGUGCUGCUUUAACCUCAGUGGUCACAGCAUGUCGAUUCAUAAACAACUACGAUGGAUGCAAGAACAUACACAGAAGAUUAAAGAAGAGAGUGAUCCCUUUGGGAAUUGGCUGAACAGACUGUUUAGGGGAGUGGGUUCAUGGUUAAAGCAAUUGCUUAAGGUUUUUGUGAUAGGGCUUGCAAUCUUUGUAUGUAUUCUGAUCUGUCUUCCAUGCUUUGUAGGAUGCUUGCAGAACUCCUUGCAAUGAAUGAUGGAAAAGACUUUUGACCAUCGGAUUGAGUAUCACAGACUGUGUGAAAGGUUGUAGAAGGGUGUAGGUUGUUGCGUUCGUGCUGCAACGGGGCAAGGCUUGGCCGAGCGCGGGGAGUCAGGUUAUGAGGGCAAAGGACUCCCUGUUGCUCUGAUGUUUUCUUAAAGGAUUGCAGUAAAAGAGUAGUAGAAAUAGUUUGCUGAAAUGUAUUUAGGAUUAGAUGCUUUGCAUUGCUUCGCGAUGUACGGGUUAGACGUAUGUAAGUAGUAUUUAGCUUAGGGAGGGGGAGAUGUUGUAGUAGGCGUUUUGCGGGGUUACGGGAUGUACAGGAC